GCGUGCACAGUCUCCUCAUUUGGAAUCGCGCCAAAAUCCACAGAAGGUAAAAUCACUGAUUGCCUUUAUGAACAGUAUACAGUGGUCCCUCAAGUUACAAUAUUAAUUGGUUCCAGGACGACCAUUGUAUGUUGAAACCAUUGUAUGUUGAAACUAUAACUCUAUGCAAACCUGGUAAUUGGUUCUGAAGCCACCAAAAUGUCCUCCAAAAAUAGGGGGACGUCACUCGUCAUCAGAGAGAGCCAGCGUUGCUGUCGCGCACCACCACUACCGCCACUGCUGGCAUAAAUAGGGUUUUGGAACAACAACAAACAAUAAUCUGGAACAAGUGACAAGUAUCGCGCAGAGAAACGUAUCCCUUAUCCAGGAUAGGGGAUCAAUUUUAGAUUGGAGGGGGUCUGACCAC